rnacentral:rRNA from 1 species
AAGAGAUCGGGAUAACACCUGGAAACAGAUGCUAAUACCGGAUAACAAUAGAUGAUGCCUAUCAACUGUUUAAAAGAUGGUUCUGCUAUCACUCUUGGAUGGACCUGCGGUGCAUUAGCUAGUUGGUAGGGUAACGGCCUACCAAGGCGAUGAUGCAUAGCCGAGUUGAGAGACUGAUCGGCCACAUUGGGACUGAGACACGGCCCAAACUCCUACGGGAGGCAGCAGUU